UACAGAGGGGGCAAGCGUUGUUCGGAAUUACUGGGCGUAAAGGGCGCGUAGGCGGCCGCCUAAGUCAGACGUGAAAUCCCUCGGCUCAACCGGGGAACUGCGUGUGAUACUGGCGGGCUUGAAUUCGGGAGAGGGAUGUGGAAUUCCAGGUGUAGCGGUGAAAUGCGUAGAUAUCUGGAGGAACACCGGUGGCGAAGGCGGCAUCCUGGACCGAGAUUGACGCUGAGGCGCGAAAGCUAGGGGAGCAAACGGGG
rnacentral:rRNA from 1 species